rnacentral:misc_RNA from 1 species
CCCCUUUGGAAGAAAAAAUAGAUUGUAAGAGUUUGCUGACAAGCUUUUGUUUUAUUCUGCUAAAAUUCGGUUAUAGUCAUAUUUCAUCUCUGUGUUUUUUAUUCUCUGCAGUUGCAUUUAGGCUGUAUGAUUUGAAACAAACUGGAUAUAUCGACCGAGAAGAAGUUAGGCAAAUGGUGGUUGCCAUUUUGAUGGAAUCCAAUGUUAAUUUGGAUGAUGAACUUCUCGAUGAUAUCAUAGACAAGGCAAGUAUCAGUCGGACCUUUUUUUUUCCCUUAAUUGUACGUCACCCAUCUUCUGGGGCACUUGAAACUCAGUACCUCCAAUCUUCAUUCAGACAUUUGCUGAAGUUGAUGCUGACAAGGAUGGUAAAAUCGGUAAAGAUGAUUGGAAAGUAUUUGUGUUAAAAAAUCCAUCUCUAUUGAAGAAUAUGACUCUUCCUUAUUUGAAGUAAGUGGCUUUGUAAAUUCUUAAUUUUAUCCUACUUCCCUUCAAUGCUGCCAAUUUCACCCCUGAAUUCAUCUGCACCCUGUUCAUUUACUUGAAAUAUAAAAUCCACCGUUGACAUAAUUAUCCUCCAGGGACAUAACCACUGCAUUUCCAAGUUUUAUUUUUAACACUGAGGUUGAAGAUUGAAUCCGAAACUUUUCGUAGCAUUUCCCAAACAAGGUGUUUGGAGGAUUCAGUUGCACACAGAACUGCUUUGUGCAGUAAAUCAUGUUGUUUUGCUUGAAACAUGCAUUCAACCUGGAGAGAGGGAAGUCAUUGUCUUUGCAAAGCAAGACCAUAGUGGUGGAAGCGGCAGCAGCAGCAUGACAAAAUCAUUCUGAUCAAUCUCUGCCAAUCAUAGGCUAUGGGAUUUCAUUUUUUAUGGUCUAAUCUAACGCCUGUGCUGUACAGUUUUUGGAAUGAAACUGUUUAGUUAUUACCCCAAAUUUGGCAUUUAUUAAUGUUAAAAUAUGCCCUCCAUUUGUCUUCCCCUGGUUCUCAAUGUUUUGUUUAUAGUGGCGUAUGUUUUGUGAUGAUAUUUUAAUCGAAACGCAUCUAAAUUUUUGUUCA